GUGCUCGCUUUGGCAGCACACAUACUAAAAUUGAAACAAUACAGAGAAGAUUAGCAUGGCCCCCUGCACAAGAAUGGCACACAGACUUAUGAAGCAUUCCAUCUAAAU
ensembl:snRNA U6 U6 spliceosomal RNA